UACGUAGGGGGCAAGCGUUGUCCGGAAUCAUUGGGCGUAAAGAGCGUGUAGGCGGCCCGAUAAGUCCGCUGUGAAAGUCCAGGGCUCAACCCUGGAAAGCCGGUGGAUACUGUCGGGCUCGAGUCCGGAAGAGGCGAGUGGAAUUCCCGGUGUAGCGGUGAAAUGCGCAGAUAUCGGGAGGAACACCAAUGGCGAAGGCAGCUCGCUGGGACGUUACUGACGCUGAGACGCGAAAGCGUGGGGAGCAAACAGG
rnacentral:rRNA from 1 species